GGGGCUGACCGGUUUUGACAGCAUAGGUCUUUGAAAGUGUAAGCAUGUCGUGCGUUGGAUAAUUAGCACGUAAAUCUGAAUACCCAAACUUCAAAUGGCGAAUCUAACUACGCCAUGGCUGCCUAAUUAAAUUAGCGCACCCAUUAUAGCCGCCGGAGUUGCUGCCCACUACGACUCCCGCCGCCGAAUCAAACCAUAGAGGGAUAGGCGCAUAUGGUUUCUGUGAGUAUGCGAUGAAAAACUAAACGGAUAAGGACCAGGUUGGUUUGUUUUGCCCCUGCUUGGUCCCGACAAAACAAUGCAGAAAUAAACAUGUAGAAAGCUUUCGGAGGAUGUGUUUGGACGCGGGUUCGACUCCCGCCAGCUCCACCU
rnacentral:tmRNA from 1 species